CACACUGGGACUGAGACACUGCCCAGACUCCUACGGGAGGCUGCAGUCGAGGAUCAUUCGCAAUGCGCGAAAGCGUGACGAUGCGACGCUGCGUGGAGGAUGAAGGCUUUCGGGUUGUAAACUCCUGUCAUGAGAGAACAAUGCCUCCGGUCCGAAUACGGCCGGAGGAAUGAUGGUAUCUCAAGAGGAAGUCACGGCUAACUCUGUGCCAGCAGCCGCGGUAAUACAGAGGUGGCUAACGUUGUUCGGAUUUACUGGGCGUAAAGGGUGCGUAGGUGGACGGGUAUGUUGGAUGUGAAAGCCCACGGCUUAACCGUGGAAUUGCAUUCAAAACUGCAAGUCUGGAGUGCAGAAGGGGAGAGCGGAAUUCUUGGUGUAGCGGUGAAAUGCGUUGAUAUCAAGAAGAACACCGGUGGCGAAGGCGGCUCUCUGGUCUGUAACUGACACUGAGGCACGAGAGCUAGGGGAGCAAACAGGAUUAGAUACCCUGGUAGUCCUAGCUGUAAACGUUGUGCACUUGGUGUGGGAGGAUUUGACCCCUCCCGUGCCGUAGCUAACGCGUUAAGUGCACCGCCUGGGGAGUACGGCCGCAAGGUUAAAACUCAAAGAAAUUGACGGGGGCCCGCACAAGCGGAGGAGCAUGUGGCUUAAUUCGAUGCAACGCGAAGAACCUUACCAGGGCUUGACAUGCAGCUGCAUGUUCGCUGAAAGGCGGACAGCCUUCGAGGGUGCUGCACAGGUGCUGCAUGGCUGUCGUCAGUUCGUGCCGUGAGGUGUUGGGUUAAGUCCCGCAACGAACGCAACCCCUGUGUCUAGUUGCUACCGGGUAAAGCCGGGCACUCUAGACAGACUGCCUGUACAAGCAGGAGGAAGGUGGGGAUGUCGUCAAGUCAGUAUGGCCCUUACGCCCUGGGCUGCACACGUGCUACAAUGGCUGGUACAAUUCGGAUGCGAAGCCGCGAGGUGGAGCAAAUCCAGAAAGCCAGCCCCAGUUCAGAUUGCAGUCUGCAACUCGACUGCAUGAAGUUGGAUUCGCUAGUAACGGCGCAUCAGCUACGGCGCCGUGAAUACGUUCCCGGGCCUUGUACACACCGCCCGUCACAUCAUGAAAGCUGUCUGCACCCGAAGUCGUUGAUCCAACCCGCAAGGGAGGUAGAUGCCGAAGGUGUGGGUAGUGAUUGGGAUGAAGUCGGAACAAGGUA
rnacentral:rRNA from 1 species